rnacentral:rRNA from 1 species
GACGAACGCUGGCGGCGUGCUUAACACAUGCAAGUCGAACGGAAAGGCCCUGCUUUUGUGGGGUGCUCGAGUGGCGAACGGGUGAGUAACACGUGAGUAACCUGCCCUUGACUUUGGGAUAACUUCAGGGAACUGGGGCUAUUACCGGAUAGGAUCUCCUGCUGCGUGGGGGGGGUUGGUAAGUUUCGGCGUUUGUGGAUGGACUCGCGGCUUAUCAGCUACUUGGUGGGGUAGUGACUUUCCAGGGCUUUGACGGGUAGCCGGCCUUGGAGCGUGAACGGCCACCAUAGGCCUAAGAGACGGACCAGUAUGCUACGGGACGCAGCAGUCGAGAAUAUUACACAACGACGCCAAGCCUGAUGUAGAAACCCUGCGAGCGGAAUGCCGGGCUACUGGUUGUAAACCGAUUUCGACUGUGAUGAAGAGUGAGUGACGGUACUGGGUAAAGAAGCACCGGCUAACUACGUG